rnacentral:misc_RNA from 1 species
AUCUGCUUGUUUAGAGCUUUUUGAAAGCGUAUUGCGCAACAUUAGUUUUUUAUUAGAUUGUACCGGGGAAGGUUUUCCGGUUUAUCCCGGAGGGCUUGUAGCUCAGUUGGUUAGAGCGCGCGCUUGAUAAGCGUGAGGUCGGAGGUUCAAGUCCUCCCAGGCCCACCAUUUAUAGUCGCUUAUGAGAGUGUUUUAAGGCUUUUAGACUGUUUGUUUAGGUUUAUACAGUUUUUUGAGAGUUGUUUAAGCUCUUUAUUCUGUUGGGGGCCGUAGCUCAGCUGGGAGAGCACCUGCUUUGCAAGCAGGGGGUCGUCGG